AGGCGCGAAAACUUCGCAAUGGGGGAAACCCCGACGAGGGAAUUCCAAGUGCUAGCACUUUGUGUUAGCUGUUCUUCUGUCUAAAAAACAGGAGAAGUAAGGGGCGGGUAAGACGGGUGCCAGCCGCCGCGGUAAUACCCGCGCCCCGAGUGGUGGUCGAUAUUAUUGAGCCUAAAACGUCCGUAGCCGGUCUUCUAAAUCCUUGGGUAAAUCGGGCAGCUUAACUGUCCGAAUUCCGGGGAGACUGGGAGACUUGGGACCGGGAGAGGUCAGAGGUACUUCUGGGGUAGGGGUAAAAUCCUGUAAUCCUGGAAGGACCACCGGUGGCGAAGGCGUCUGACUAGAACGGAUCCGACGGUGAGGGACGAAGCCCUGGGGCGCAAACGGGAUUAGAUACCCCGGUAGUCCAGGGUGUAAACGCUGCGGGCUUGGUGUUGGGGGUCCUUAGUGGGCGCCCAGUGCCGGAGAGAAGUUGUUAAGCCUGCUGCUUGGGGAGUAUGUCCGCAAGGAUGAAACUUAAAGGAAUUGGCGGGGGAGCAC
rnacentral:rRNA from 1 species